GGCCUUUCAGGUUGUCCCGUGGUAGAGGAGGCAUCUUUCUAAAACCAGAACCUGUCAGUUUAUGCAGAGUAACACACAAGACUAGGCCCAGAGAGAUUGAACAUGUUUAUUGAGUGACCUCUGGACAGUGUUCACAGCAGACUUGUAAUGCCUCACCAGCUCACCAUUUGAAGAGGACAACUUUGAGAACACACUUCAGUGGGCGACCAUCACCUUCCUCUCCAGGGUCUGGGGACCACUGCUCAGAACUGGUCUUAAUGAUCUCAGCCUCCCGUUGGGGCCUAGGAGCCACCUGGUGGACCAAGGGACGGCCUACAAUGGCUUUCUUCCUAGACAGAAACGCCGCUAGGUCACCACUCAUGUUAUAUAGUCAGAAGCCUUGCUUUAAAAAUU
rnacentral:lncRNA from 1 species